rnacentral:tRNA from 1 species
GACCGCGUAGUUCAACUGGAUAGAAUAUCAGAUUUCGGCUCUGAGGGUUGGGGGUUCGAGCCCCUCCGCGGUCG